AUCUCCCCCUGGGCCCGGGCCCCCUGCUGAGUGCGGGAGCGGCUCCUCUCUGGCCCGCCGGAGCUCUCCGGCCUGCCAUGCCCGGUGCCAGCUUCGCAGGGAAUGAGCGGAGGGCAGCCCCCACCGGGAGGAGCUCGGGCGGGGAGGGAGAGACGAGGGAAGCCAAGCGCGCAAGGGACUGCACGAUGGGCUUGAAAAAUCACUGCACCAGCGUCGGAGGGCAAGGGGGAGAGAGAAUCCCCGGGCUGGGCAGCCACGCCGCUCUCUCCGCCUCUGCUGCCGACUCCGGCAGCGCCCCCAGCAUUGCCCGGCCCCUCUACCCCCGAGCCCGGCUCCAAACUUUUUCAACCGCCCGCUCCCCGCCGGGUCUGAGGGAAGCCCGGGCUCGGCGGUCGCCCGGAGCCCGCGCCCCGCCCGCCCGCCCAGGAGGGAUGCUGCUCCGGGAGCUGCUGGGGCUGCUCCGCUGCUGCUGGCCCUCCCUGCUGCUGCACUGUGCCCUCCACCCGCUCUGGGGCUCCGUACAGAUCACUCAGGGUGAGCCCCAGAAGUCAUGCUCCAAGCCUGGAGCAGAGAAAGUCACAGAGAGCUGCCAACAGAUUUGCCAGUGCAGGUUACCACCACUGUUACCACCACCUCCUCCACCUCCACCGCCCCCGAGGUUGCUAGUGGUGCCAACUCCCAAAUCUACCUUUUGUCCCACUGAAGAAACCUGGUGGCCAGGCCUGGUUAUUAUCAUUGCAGUAUGCUGCGCCACGCUAGUGUUCCUCUUUGUAGUUGUCAUCAUUUGCUACAAAGCCAUAAAAAGGACUCAUGCAAAUUAAUGCAUGCAUGGUGGAGAGGUCAUUAUGGACUCUGACGCAUGAUUUCAAGCAUGUACUAAGCUGUACAGAGUUGCAUGUUCCUUUCAUUCACAGAUGUUUGGCAUGAAGAGAGCACCAAUUUGUUUGCUAAACAUCAAAGCACAGUGUGUAGCAAAUCAUACUGUAAAGCAAUGCAAAGCACUUGUUAGCAAACAAGUUUCACCUGCCACCAAGAAACCAAUGAGAAAAGAAGAGAACGGGACCAGUCAGGCCGAAUAUGCAAUGACCUCAUCUCAAAACAACAAAACAGUUGAUAACAAUGCGGUUGUAUAAUCCCCAAAACCCCACAGGAGGUGGUAAACUUUCAAAGCACACACUUGGGAGUACGCAAGGUGGGUGAAAUAAGGCAAAGAAUGGAGUUCUGUGGCCAAGGUCUUAAUUUCAGAAAUAGCGCACGCAUCAGUGAUUCAGAAGAGUAAAGCAGGCUGCUCCACAGGCUUGCUGCUUCUCCAAAAGGAGGAUAAACUUGCCCACCCAGGCUGCCUGGAGAAAAGGCCUCACAAAGGCAUAAGCAUUGCAUGCUGCAUCUCGUGAAAGCUAUGUCACGAUGCCUCACGCUUCUUCUUAUCUUCCCCCCACUUUUAAGUGUGAAUUCAAAAAAAGCUGCUGAGGUAGGAUCUUUUGAAGAGAACAUGGUCUGCCAGAGUGACAGCAGCUUAUUAUAAAUGGGUCUGAGGGCCAAGGGUGUGAGGUGUCACCUACAUGCUUCUCCAGCCUGUGCAGUUCUGUAUGCUUAUAAUUCAUUCUUAUCAUUCUUAUUAUUUCAUUAUUAAAAAGAGAACAAAGGUUACUGUAAAGCCACUGAGCAACCAAAAAUUGCAUGAACUUGUGACUUACCCCAGGAAAUUGAUCCGCGGUGUGCUGACUAUGCAGUUUCCAUGGCUGAAGACUUUGCAGGCAAAAGAAAUCAAAAUGUAAGAUUUUAGCAGUUAGCAUUGCUGUGGAAAGAGAGAUGUUAUUAAGUGGUGCUUUGAAUGUUAUUACUUCAUAAUCAUCCUCUAUUUUUGCAUCACAUUUUUUAAUCUUUAAAAAAGUUUUCCUUUGUGAAGUUCUACAUGUUUCUCUGUGUUUGCAUCAUGCUGAUUCCCCAGGGGAACACCUACAGGAAAGUUGUUUACAUCUUGACAUGAGCAUUUGGGCAGGAUUAUGUUGAAAGGACUAGCAGUGCUUUCAAGUCCUCUUCAUCCACUGAUUAGUGUUGUUUCCUGAAAGUGUUGAGUCUCCUGAACUGACCCACUGAGGACAUUGUAGUUCUGCCUUGGAGGACCACUUCUGAGGGUCUGAUAAGCUGUUUGUGCCCAUUUUAACUCAGUCUCUGAGUCCCCUGGGCAGAGACUGCUGUUGUGCCAAAUUCAGUCUAACAGCUUAGUGUUCUACUUUCCAUGAUGUGGAUUGCAGACUACUUAAAGAAAGCUGAAUCCACCCAAAUUCAUUUCACAUAAGAUCUCAGGUUAGACUCAGCAAAUAACCCUUAAGAUAAAGGCAGUGAGACUAGCCAAGAUGCUGGUCUUUCCACACCUCCUGAAAACUUUCCUUUUUUUCACACCUCCGUGUCUAUGUCUCCAUUUACCUCUGUGCUGAAAGUAGUGAUGCAGUGAAAGACAGAUUUCCACCCUGGCUUCUUGUCUGGAUAUUAAGCUUUGAUACCACUCAGUCUCCAUGUCUGUGAGUAACUCCCAGGCAGGCACCCAACCAGUCUCACUGCAGGAUGUGGCUGUGCCCUGGCUGCCACAUCCCUCAAUACUGAAACACACCGAUACUUUCAGUUUUAUAUAAGGAUGUGCCUGAACUGCAGAAACCAGACCUUGAUUUUGAACGCAUUCCUGUCUGUGGUUGGUCUGUUGCCGGGAGUAGGGCUUGGCCUGAUGGUAGAGGAAGAUGAUGUUCUGCAGACCUUCCCCAGUAUAGCUCUAGGAUGUUCAAAUCAGCAGUUUCAGCUCAGGCCCAUCUGUAGUUUUCUAUUACCUUUUGAACAAUAGGGUGUAUGUAAAUAUAAGUAUCAUUUCAAUGAUAAAAUGAAAUGCUGCUAUAUACUGCUGUUGAGGAAUAUGUGGAGUUAUUAAGUUAGCUUUUUAGUCUGUCAUCACUAUGUAAAAGUUUAGCUACAUAAAUUUAUUUUUUAAAGAUUAGACUUUCUUGAGAAGUGAAUGAAAUUACAGAAGUGAAAGGGAAUAAGUAACCCUUUGCCCAAGAGUAUGAUCAUUCCCUGCCAUACUCACGCUGUGUGCUUGCACAAGACACAGUGAUAUGUUCUUAGAUCCCAAGUGGGAUUAAAAUGACAGAAUUUACACUAGUAAAGUGUAUCCCAAAUGUUAAUUGCCUAAAGCACUAAGUCCCUAAAUACUAUAACAAAAAUAUCACAAGUAUAUUUCAGGAAUAUAUUUUAAUCUAUAACAUUUAUUUUGGUGUAGUUACUUACAUUUGCCUUUCUAUUUUUUACUGCAGUUGUUUCUGCCUAAACAUGGCAUAGUUUGAGACUGGUUGCAUGUUUAGCUGAGAGUAUAAAGUAUGAGUGCAGUUGAGUUCAGCAUGAUACGCUCAGGAUUAGCACUUUCUCCUAAAGGUUGUUGAUUUUAAUUAUUUCCUAAUACAGCUUUAAAGGCAUGUUCUGUAAGGCCAAAAUCACAAAAGGGAUUUGUAAGUCAUUAUGUCUAUCAAAAUGUGUCUGUUUUUGCAAGAAACAGUCUAAAGAGAUGGUCACGGACACUGUCUGAUUUUGAGUUUUGUCAAUGGCAAAAUGUUCUCUCUAGAGAAAACCCUGGAGCAUGACAUAACACAAAAAAACCCACCCCAGGUCCCAUGAGGUUUUCCUCAGGAGAACAUAAACAGUAAAAACUCCAUGGAGAGCAGGGAGGCAGAGCAUUUCAAGGAGCAGCACAUGAGGACUAGGAUUUAUUUUCAGCUCUGCCACUGAUCAGCUGUUUACUAGCAAGUAAUUUUGCCUCCCUGUGCCUCAAUUUACCCAUCUGUAUAAUCAAGAUAAGAUAAAAAUACCAGCUCUGUGGCAGUAUUUUGAGAGAUAAAGAUGUAGCUUAUUUGCAUAGGCAGAUACACACUAUCCUUAUAUCCAACCUGCUAUUAAAUAAAUGUAUUUGGGUACAUAAUCACCAUAAUAUUUCUUAAACAAAUAUUGUCCAGUGUGCUUUUAUAAUCCAUUGGCCACAGAAGAGCAGCAGUAGACAGGCUGAAAGCUGCUACUCUGCUUGUCCAGAGCUUUUGCUUUCAACACUGACACAGCUGCAUGGCAAAUCUUGCACAGGGUAGUGGGGUUUUUUUUGCCUUUAGAUUCCUGCCCAAGUACAGUUGACUACAUUGCACCAAAAUGUACGGUGAUCUACAGAAAGUCACUUGGAAAAGCAUACUGGAAGCAAAUGCAAGUCCUCAGAAAAGAGGGGCUAGAACAGCAGUGUCACUGAGGAAUGAUUUCUAAAGUUUGCUGGUAUGGUUUCAGGUUGUGUUUGAUGCUCUACAGACUACUUGCAAAGGUCUUCUAAAAGAGGCUUCUGUGCUUCCUUACUGAGCUAUAAUUAAAUGCAAAGGGAAAGGAACAGGCUUGAUGGGUAAGGGCUUCAUUAAGCAGUGACCCUGCAUGUGGGGAACUGGCAAUCGAAGAUGCAGCUUUACAAGCAUUUUGAGUUUCUUUUUAGCCACCAGAAUAUCAGGGGUGGAAAGGUCCUGCAUAGCUCCAUUCACAGAAUAGCCAGAUCCCCAGCAGAUGCAAAGGUGGCCAGUUUCUAUGCAGAAGCUAACUGAUCUGCUCUGACCAUCUCCAGACAGACUCAACACACUGCUGUGUUCAGUCUGAGGGUGAGCGUCAACUCAAUUUCUUCUCAAGGAUCACCACUAACAGACACACACAGGGAAUGCACUUUAAGGGCCUGAGCUGCAAAGUGUUGAGUUUUUUCAGCCCUUAGCAACACCUAGAAGGUAGAGCUGAAGCUCCAGCUCUGCCACCCUACCUAGCUCAGACCCGAUACAGCGGUGUGCCCAGGAAAGUAUCUGUACCUUGGAUAGAUGAUGCGAAAACAGACAUGGAAGGAAAGAGGAAAGGUCUAUUAAGUAUAAGAUAUAAGUAUAUUGAUAUGUAUCUAUACAGAGACCUAAUUGUCCAGUCUUGCAUGCCAUAUGGUCACAGCAUGUGAAGCGAGUGUGGGCCUCCUGCUUCAACCAGGUCAUGACCAUAGAUGCUGCCAAACAAUGGAGAAUCAGGCCUAUGGUAGAUAUGUAUUUACAAUACUCCCUGCACCUGUACAAACAGAAAUAUGUAAUUCUAAACUGCAAAAUAUUGUGUUUAAAUCAGUGCAUGAAUGUAAAUAUUCUAAGAUCUGCCUUCUUAACUGUGUACCACAUGUACAGACGAAAAUGAAUAUUGUUUAUAGGAAAUCUGUAUCAGUGGUUAAAUGACUAAAGAGAAAAAAAAAUAUCAGAAUUAAUGUUGUCAUGUUUCUCAAACAAGCCAUUAAUGUAUAUUUAGUAUUUAAGGAUAUUGCUCAAUAAGUAUGUUCCGUACCAAAAACUGUGUUGCAUAUACAGAUUGUGCAGUACCCUAUUUUAAAAAGGCACCAUAAUUAAUUUUUAUUUUAAAUAAAAAUGUACUUGUAAAAAGUU